rnacentral:rRNA from 1 species
CACGUAGGGCGCAAGCGUUGUCCGGAAUUAUUGGGCGUAAAGAGCUCGUAGGUGGUCUGUUGCGUCCGCUGUGAAAACUCGGGGCUUAACCCCGAGCCUGCAGUGGAUACGGGCAGACUAGAGGUAGGUAGGGGAGAAUGGAAUUCCCGGUGUAGCGGUGAAAUGCGCAGAUAUCGGGAGGAACACCGGUGGCGAAGGCGGUUCUCUGGGCCUUACCUGACGCUGAGGAGCGAAAGCGUGGGGAGCGAACAGG